AGAGACUGAUUUGUUUUGGUUCAGGAGUCGCACCAUGUAUGAAGAUGAAAACAACUGAGUUGAAAUCCAUCAAAAUUUUGAGUUGUUUUUCUUCAGCGGUAGCGAAAUUCGUUGACUUAGCGAAGACGCACACUAUUUCACUGGGUAUGAAUGGAAACAACUCAGAGCAUCUCGAAAACAAAAGUUAGUGAUCGUUUUGAAAACAAAAGUUAGAUGAACUGCGACUGAUUGGUUUUCUCCAGCUGCGGCGCAACUUUUCGCCACUGGAAUCGGUAAAAGGUCCGUCUGAACAUCAGAUCGCUUCGGACGCUCUCGGUCUGAUGUUUUCAUCGGAAAAUUUAUCUGUUGGCCGCAGGGAAAUAAUAUCGGCUGCUCAUAGAAUAGCAUCUAGUGCUGGUUGCUGAUCAUCAACUACGGCGAAAAGUGCGACAGGUCUAUUCCCGCCGGGUGUGGCAGUUCCUAUAUGCUAAGGGGACGUCAACGAGUUGGUUUGUACUGGAUGCGGUGCAGUAUUUCAUCACUGAGAUCGGUGGAAGUCCCAGCUGAGUAGCAAACUCCUCCGGUCGUCUUCCAGUUUGUUAGGUGAAAUUCCACCGGAUGCGGCAAAGGUUUUCGCUUAUGGGAUCGAUGGAACCGGCUGAUCAGCAGACCGUCAGGACGCCCUCCAGGAUCGAGAACACAAUCGGAAAAUUCGUCGGUUGACAGGAGAAAAACAAACGGUCACUUUCGAACAUCAGAAAGUGAUGGCUGCCACUCACCAUUUUGGACAAAAAAGUGAUGGGAAAUAAACUCAUUUCACACAUUUGAUUUAAUUAAAUUUGGUCCGAAAUUCCAAUUAAUUGCUUUAAAAAAUAUAUAAUCCCUUUCGAAACCGUGUCAAAUUUUUGAAGAUUUUGAGUUGUUUUGGCUCAGACCGUUCAGAUGCUGCUUAAA